rnacentral:RNase_P_RNA from 1 species
AAAGUAUAGACAAAUAAUAGAAUUUAGAAAGUGGGGGGAGGAAAGUCCGAACACCAUAAAGCGGUAGUGGGUAACGCCCACCCUUUUGCUGGUAACGGUAAAAGAGGACCAGUUCCACAGAGACUAUACAAGUCAGUGCUGCGCACUGCAAAUUCAAAAUUCAAAACAUUAAAUUCCAAAUAAAUUAUUUGUGAUUUGUGAUUUUGGACUUAUAAUUUUCAGCGCGUAGCGCUGGCCAAAUGUGAAAAGUGUUAAGGUGUGCUGUGCUGAAUACGGGAUAUCCCUUCAGCGUAACGCUUCUUAACUCGGCUCCUGGUGACAGGAUGUCGUGGUAAACUCUACCUGGUGCAAUGCUAAAUUUGGUAAGCAGCAUGAGCUGUUUGGCAACAAACAGUCAAGAUAGAUGAUCAUCAUCCAUCACUUUUAGAAAAAGUGAGGGAAUACAAAAUUCGGCUUAUCAGUUUGCUUGGACA